rnacentral:lncRNA from 1 species
AAAACAGCAGGGACUCACAUGAUUUAAAACUUAGAAUCAUCGCCUCUACAAUAUUGCAGUCCACAUCUAAGAAGUCCUAAUCACAGAAGCACAUUAUACAAUAUCCUAGCUUAGCAACCAAAUUCACCUAGCCAACAUCUUAGCAAAUCAUGUCUGACAUUCCCCUCUACCAACCUCAUUUCUUAACAUAAAUAAAUGUGUAUGCUUUACCUUGGGAGUAUCGAUCACAAGACACAUGGACUCUUACCCCAACAUGUAUCUGAGUAAACAUGUAGUCUUGUUCUGGUUUCUUUUACUCUAUAUCUCCCUUCUCUGAAUCCUUUUUAUCUCAAUUCCAAUGAAUAAAGAUGCUGAUGCAGUCCAUCUUAUUCACCUUGUUUUUCGAUUUUUUUUAUUAUUAUUAUUUUUUUUUCUUUUCUUGACAAAGUGUAGGCGAAUAGUGGGGUCAUCGGUAAUGUACCUACCCCUCGCUUCCAACAAUGUGUGAUCAUUCUAUUAGAGUAGAAUAAUGGGGUCAUCGGUAAUGUACCUACUCCUCUAAACUGCAAGAAAUCAUCUCAAUCUUUUAUUUUAUUUUAUUAGGAUGCCAAAGGGAGGAGAGAAGGAAACCAAAAUCACUCAGACUUUUACCUUUCAGACCUGAAGGAGGAAUCCGAUCCAGUGUAUACCAAGCCCCAAGACAAGCAGUUAAGUCAAAUUAGGUUGGAGGUCAGCUUCGGUUCCUUCAAACACUCUCAGCAAGUGCAAACAUAGUUGACAUGUUGAUCCACUUUAGUAUCUUUAGUACUAUCUGCAAUCAGUAAGUCUAUAAUGGUGCUAAAGAGUGGUUAGAUAACAAGCAUGAAUCUAAUAAGUUCAUUAUCCCCUUCUUGACUCAAUAAAAACAGAUUUGAAAAUAUUUUAAAUAAGACUCAUAAAGGUAGAUAAACGUUAGUAAUCCCCCCAGACUUAAAUUACACUGUCCCUAGUGUAACACAGUCGGUGGUAAGGUGAAAAUCAUAAAGUAGUGUACAAAAUUUAAUAAGUAAGAACGAUAACAUGCUCAGUAUCGAUCGAUACAAUGAAGUGACAAUCGAUCGUUGUUGAUGAAGCGUUGUCGAUUGAUAGUGACAUGGGCUCAUCGGUCGAUGGCUAGAGCAAUCAUUCGACACAAUGAAGAGAUAAUCGAUUGUUGGAUAUGAAGCGCUGUCGAUCGAUAUCGAGCUGGUGUCAUCGGUCGAUGUGCUGAGCAAUCGUCUACUCGGAUCUGUUUUUUUUUUUUUUUUUUUAGAAAAACUAACUAAAACACAAUAUUAGUAGAACCUCCCCGAGACUUAGAUAACACUAUAAUGAUGUUAUCCAGUCGGAGAUUGGUGUAAAUAAAUCAUAAGUACUCAAUUUAACAAGUUAGAACGAUAUACCUGACCAGAAUGGAUGUCGAUCGAUGUAAACGUGUUGUCAUCGGUCGUGGCAGAUGUAGCAAUGUUGAUCGAUAUCGACUUGUUCUCGUCGGUCAAUAUCAUGGCAAUCGUUUACUUGGG